AUGGUUAUCAGCAACUGCUUGGUUUCCAACAUUCUUCAAAAUAUCUUUUGUGUUCAAAAGAAGAAUGAAACUCAUACAGGUUCAGAACAACUUCAGGGUGAGUAAAUAAUUGCAAUUUUCAUUUUUGGGUGAACUGUCCCUUUAGGUUUUGAAUAUUUUAGUUUGUUGGUUCUUAUAAAAGACAACAAGCUUGCAAUCCAUUUGCUACAAUGAUAUCAUCCACCAGGCAUUUCAAGGUUUUUUAACAUCAUGGGAUGUUGUUGUGAAGCAGUAAUUUUCCAUUGCUAUUGCUUGUGGAAUAAUAACACUUGUUAGAUUUGUGCUGGUCAGUCUAAGUCUGAGCAUCGGAACACACACAACUAAGACUAUUCAAUAAACUCUGCUCUUUUUUUAUCAUCACUUCAUCUCCUGCUUCUGCUCAUCACUGGCUUUACUCAGUCAACUUCUUGUUAACAGUCUGAGUAAGACUGUUAAUACAGUUUUGGGUACCAGAUAAGACUUGCUGUUAACAGGUUUUGGGUAUUAGACAACUUUGCUGACCAGUUGCUCUGUUACCAGUCAAAACAGAUAUUUGCUGACAGGAUCUGGCGUCCGGGGCUGAAUCUGAUCAUUCUGGUGUGGAGAUAUGAUCUAACACAAUCCUACUUGAGGAUGUGACGAUGAAGACAACACAAGAAGUCAGAGAAAAUAAGAUAAAUGAAGAGAAAAGGUGGGACAAAGCAGAGCCUUUUGAUGAAAUAAAAGCGGAUACUGAGUUACCGGAGGAGUACUAUCAUGGGCUUGAGGAUUUACCCUGGAGCCUGAACUCACUGGAGCAGUUACUGUAUAUCAGCCUGCCAGCAUGGAUACAAAGAGCUCUGCUUUGUAACUUAGCUGAGCGGUUUGGCAUCUGGACCUUUCACAACAACUUCCUGCCGUGUCGUCUCAUAUCCUACACCCUACUGCCGUACACUCUGCCUGCUUCAGCUGUCAUCUCAUUCAUCUACAGAUUUUUUUGCUGGGUGAAGAAAAUUCCCCACCAGGUUCUGAAUGCGGGCAGGGAAUUCAAACAGGAAGUGAUGGCACAUCCGUGGUUAGUCUUUACACACUUGAGAGGACUUUUGCUGAACAGAUUCCUGCUUUUGCAAAUUCCAACUUUGCACCCCACACUUGCUCUGCUUCUUGCACCCUGGUCCUGUUUCCCAUCUCUUCCUUUUACUUUCCUUCCUUGGUCCUCUUUUCCUUUACGUUCUCUUGCUUUGCGUUUUCUGCCACGGUGUCUCUCCACUCCAACCUCAAAGAACCAACCGGAGCGCAGGAGCCAGACUCAGCCUCUCUGGUCUAGACGACGAUCUCUCCUCAGCUUCCAGCUCAUCGGAUCCGGCGGUUUCUGCAAAAAGACAGCUGACAUCCUUACAGACGCAGAGCAACUAUCUUCAGCCUUCCUCCUGCAGCUCAACUUAGAGUUAGAAAUGGACAGCCAUCCUGAACCACAGCUUCAGAAGGAUCGGCUAGAUUGUGAGGGAAGUUUAUUACUAAACACAGAAGUAGAUGAGAAUCUGUCUUCUCCUUUUAUUUCUGACAUGGAUGUACAAGAGGAAGACUGAAUGACUGUGUGUUAUAUUGCAAACAAAAUUCUCUACUGCAGAAUUGUAGAAUAUGCGGUUAAUACUCUGAACAUGCCAAUGUAUACAUAUCAGUGUUGUUAUUAUAAUUAAUUGAAAACUGAAAUAGAACUGAAAUAAAAUACAUUUUAGAUAAACCUAAAAAGAAUAAAAAUGAGAAAUGCUGCUUUGGGAAUG
ensembl:lncRNA